GGGAAUGUUUUAUCACCUCUACAAUCAGGUAGCCACAAACACCCUUGAGAGGGUGGCACCUCUUACACACGCAGUUGGAAAUGUGUUGAAACGUGUGUUCGUGAUUGGAUUCUCUAUUGUUAUCUUCGGUAAUAAAAUUUCAACACAAACCGGUAUUGGAACCUGCAUUGCAAUUGCUGGAGUUGCAAUCUACUCUUUCAUUAAGGCCAAGAUGGAAGAAGAGAAAAGGCAAAAGAAAGCCGCCUGAAAAUGAAGGAACGCGGUAUCAGGAAGAAGGUUGUGAUGGACUCUGUGUUGAUUUUUCACUAUUUUCUCCUGUCCAAAUAAAAGAUGAAGAAGGGAAACCUCUGCUUUUCUUGGAGUUCUGUAGUUUAGUUUGGAGUCAAUUGUUUUGAUUCAAAGGUCAAUUGCCUGCUAAUUUCUGUAUACUUGUGAUUAUUGUAAUAAUAAUAAUAAUAAUGUACCAACUUCUAUAAAUAUUUCAUUCCCUUACAUCUUGA
rnacentral:misc_RNA from 1 species